rnacentral:rRNA from 1 species
UACAGAGGGUGCAAGCGUUAAUCGGAAUUACUGGGCGUAAAGCGCGCGUAGGCGGCUUUGCAAGUCGGGUGUGAAAUCCCCAGGCUUAACCUGGGAACUGCAUUCGAGACUGCAUUACUAGAGUAUGGGAGAGGGAAGUGGAAUUUCCGGUGUAGCGGUGAAAUGCGUAGAUAUCGGAAGGAGCACCGGUGGCGAAGGCGGUUCUCUGGGCAUUACCUGACGCUGAGGAGCGAAAGUGUGGGGAGCGAACAGG